rnacentral:lncRNA from 1 species
AUUUCUUUCUGCCUUCAACAACUGUAGUUGCCUCGCUGUAUAAAAUUUCACCAUCAUCUGAGGUUCUUGCUACACAACUUUGAGAUUUUGAAGUCUCAGGACCUUUUCCUUUGUCUUCUUCAUUUUUCUUGAGACUCCAACAAUCCCUUUUUACCCUUUCUUGCCACAGUAAUAACACUUGGCAUUUUUCUUACUCCUGGAUUUUGAUCUACUCCGAUUAUGACUCCCACUUGAGCCACGUUCCGUUGAUCUCCCUCUCUUCAUCGUCAAAGCUUCCGCCUGAUGCGAACUUGUCAAUCUGUCCUCCUUGUUCUUGCGCCUACUUUCCUCUUCAAGAANUUCUUUCUGCCUUCAACAACUGUUGUUGCCUCGCUGUAUAAAAUUUCACCAUCAUCUGAGGUACUUGCUACACAACCCUGAGCUUUUGAUAUCUCAGGAACUUUUCCUUUAACUUCUUCAUUCUUCUUGAGACUCCAACAAUCCCUUUUUAAGUGCCCUUUCUUGCCACAGUAAUGACACUUGGCAUUUUUCUUACUCCUGGAUUUUGAUCUACUCUGAUUAUGACUCCCACUGGAGCCACGUUCCGUUGAUCUCCCUCUCAUCAUCGUUAAAGCUUCUACCUGAUUCGAACUUGUCAAUCUAUCCUCCUUGUUCUUGCGCCUACUUUCCUCUUCAAGAACAGCAGCUGCAAUAUCAUCGAAGACUAGAGUUUCAAGGUUGUUGGUUAAGUUGAUGAUGAGUUGAUCAUACGAAUCUGCUAGACUUUGAAGUAAGAUUUCAGCAUGUUCACCAGUCUCUAUAUUAUGCUCCAUUGAUGCGAGUUGUGAAAAUAGAGUAUUGAGGGUGUUGAUGUGAUCUGUCACCGUAGUUGACUCCAUCAUCCUAAGGGUGUAAAGUUUUCUCUUUAAGAAGAUUUUGUUGUGUAACGAUUUGGCUUCGUACAGCUUUGUCAGCAUAUCACAUAUCUCUUUGGCCGUCUUUUUCUCUGCCACACUUGACAAUACUCCAUCGGCUAGUGCAAGGUGCAGAUUAGCAACUGCGUUGCUAUCCAUCUCAUUCCACUUAGUAUCG